AUGACAAAGCAUUAUUUCUCUCGCUCUCGUGCUCUUUCUCCCUCUCUCUCUGUCUCUUUCUCACUUUGUCUGCCUUGUCUCUGUCUCUCUCUCUCUGUCUGUCUCUUUCUUACUUUGUCUGUCUCUUUCUCCCUCUCUCUCUCUGUUUGUCUCUUUCUCACUUUGUCUGUCUCUUUCUCCCUCUCUCUCUGUCUGUCUCUUUCUCACUUUGUCUGUCUCUUUCUCCCUCUCUCUCUGUCUGUCUGUCUCUUUCUCACUUUGUCUGCCUUGUCUCUGUCUCUCUGUCUCGUCUUUGUCUCACUUUGUCUGCCUUGUCUCUGUCUCUCUGUCUGUCUCUUUCUCACUUUGUCUGCCUUGUCUCUGUCUCUCUCUCUCUGUCUCGUCUUUGUCUCACUUUGUCUGCCUUGUUUCUGUCUCUCUGUCUCUCUGUCUCAUCUUUGUCUCACUUUGUCUGCCUUGUUUCUGUCUCUCUCUCUCUCUGUCUCGUCUUUUUCUCACUUUGUCUGCCUUGUCUGUCUCUGUCUCUCUCUCUUUGUCUCUUUCUCACUUUGUCUGCCUUGUCUCUGUCUCUCUCUCUCUGUCUCACUUUGUCUGUCUUGUUUCUGUCUCUCUCUCUCUGUCUCGUCUUUGUCUCACUUUGUCUGCCUUGUCUCUGUCUCUCUCUCUCUGUCUCUUUCUCACUUUGUCUGCCUUGUCUCUCUCUCUCUGUCUCUUUCUCACUUUGUCUGCCUUGUCUCUGUCUCUCUCUCUCUGUCUCGUCUUUGUCUCACUUUGUCUGCCUUGUUUCUGUCUCUCUGUCUCUCUGUCUCAUCUUUGUCUCACUUUGUCUGCCUUGUUUCUGUCUCUCUCUCUCUCUGUCUCGUCUUUUUCUCACUUUGUCUGCCUUGUCUGUCUCUGUCUCUCUCUCUUUGUCUCUUUCUCACUUUGUCUGCCUUGUCUCUGUCUCUCUCUCUCUGUCUCACUUUGUCUGUCUUGUUUCUGUCUCUCUCUCUCUGUCUCGUCUUUGUCUCACUUUGUCUGCCUUGUCUCUGUCUCUCUCUCUCUGUCUCUUUCUCACUUUGUCUGCCUUGUCUCUCUCUCUCUGUCUCUUCCUCACUUUGUCUGCCUUGUCUCUGUCUCUCUCUCUCUGUCUCGUCUUUGUCUCACUUUGUCUGCCUUGUCUCUGUCUAUCUCUCUCUGUCUCGUCUUUGUCUGUCUCUUUUUCUCUCUCUCUCUGUCUCUCAUUCUCUCUCCCCCCUCUCUCUCUCUUUCUCUCUCCCCCCUCUCCCUCUCUUUCUCUCUCCCCCCUCUCCCUCUCUAUCUCAAUUUCAAUUUAAGGGGCUUUAUUGGCAUGGGAAACAUAUGUUUUACAUUGCCAAAGCAAGUGAAAUAGAUCAUUAA
rnacentral:lncRNA from 1 species